rnacentral:rRNA from 1 species
CCAGCAGCCGCGGUAAUUCCAGCUCCAAUAGCGUAUAUUAAAGUUGUUGCAGUUAAAACGCUCGUAGUCUGAUGUAAUGGGGACUGGAGUGGGGAGCAGCGAUGCUCUUUGCUUUGGUCCUCAUCAGGGGGACAGCAAUGUCCCAGUUUACUUUGAGGAAAUUAGAGUGUUCAAAGCAGGCGAUUGCUUGAAUACUGCAGCAUGGAAUAAUAGAAUAGGACUUUAGUCUCCUUUGUUGGUUUGAGGGAUUGAAGUAAUGAUUAAUAGGGAUAGUUGGGGGCAUUAGUAUUUAAUUGUCAGAGGUGAAAUUCUCGGAUUUGUUAAAGACUAACUUAUGCGAAAGCAUUUGC